UGGGGAAUUUUGGACAAUGGGGGAAACCCUGAUCCAGCCAUCCCGCGUGUGCGAUGAAGGCCUUCGGGUUGUAAAGCACUUUUGGCAGGAAAGAAACGUCGCGGGUUAAUACCCCGCGAAACUGACGGUACCUGCAGAAUAAGCACCGGCUAACUACGUGCCAGCAGCCGCGGUAAUACGUAGGGUGCAAGCGUUAAUCGGAAUUACUGGGCGUAAAGCGUGCGCAGGCGGUUCGGAAAGAAAGAUGUGAAAUCCCAGAGCUUAACUUUGGAACUGCAUUUUUAACUACCGGGCUAGAGUGUGUCAGAGGGAGGUGGAAUUCCGCGUGUAGCAGUGAAAUGCGUAGAUAUGCGGAGGAACACCGAUGGCGAAGGCAGCCUCCUGGGAUAACACUGACGCUCAUGCACGAAAGCGUGGGGAGCAAACAGGAUUAGAUACCCUGGUAGUCCACGCCCUAAACGAUGUCAACUAGCUGUUGGGGCCUUCGGGCCUUGGUAGCGCAGCUAACGCGUGAAGUUGACCGCCUGGGGAGUACGGUCGGCAAGAUUAAAACUCAAAUGAAUUGAC
rnacentral:rRNA from 1 species